AGCUGUGAAGUAAGAGGGUGUGCCGGAAUGCACUGUCUUAUGGAGCUUUAAGGAGGGGUUGGACAGUAUACCUCAAACCGGAUUAGGUGUAAGCCGAAAGAAAAUGUUCU
rnacentral:sRNA from 1 species